UACAAAUUUAAUUUUUAAGAAAUAUAUGAAGAUAAAAGUCUGCAGCUUAAAAAAUACUAACAAACUUUUUCAAAGCUUUAGAAUAUGAAUAUACACCUCAAAAUAUAUUGUCAAAAAAAUUAGUAUUUCUAUUUUUUAAUAAAAUGAUUUCUUGAAUAUAAAAAUUGGAUGCAGUUUAUUUUUCAAAUUUGUAUUUUAAUAAAAUAUUGCAAAUAUAAAAAUGCAAGGAACAAAUAUCAUUAUUUUUGUUAAAGUAAAGUUUUGUCAAAACAUAUUUCCGCCCUUUAAAAUCGCGGAUCAAAUAGUUGAUUCAGUUUUAUAUACUAUUAUAAUGUAUAUCUGAAAUUUAAUCAAAAUUUUAAAAUAUUAUAAGAUUGUUCUGGGUCUUUGUCAGGUCAACCGGUGUCGGUUCACGGGUUAAUGGCAAGUUUUUGGAUUUUGUCAAACUUUGAAUAUAUAAAUAGGUUUUCAUUAAUCCAAUAUUUUUAAGUAUAUUAUUUGAAUUUUUAAAAUUCAGGUAUCUGUUUGGUCUCGGUUCGAUUUAUUUUUUAUUCCGUAGAUAUAUGAUUUGUUAGGUUAUUUAUGAAAUUCAGUUCAACUGGUUUCGUUGUUUUUGGUUUGGUAUGGUUCGAUACGCAGUUCCGGAUAAAUAUGUUUAAACUAUAUUUUAUCUAUAAAAAAUGAUUUCAAAAGAAUUUAUUUGAAUUCGAAAACAAACCCGUGCUUUUUAAGCGCAUGUCAAAAUCUAGUUAGACAUUAUUUGUCUAAACUUUCAAUGUGAGACUUGAAUUGACAUCUCUCGUUACAUCCUUCAAACCAAGAAUCACACUUAUCUUGUGUCCUUUCCUCCAGUGAGACUUGAAUUGACAUCUCUCAGCACCUAUCUUGUCGCAUCUUCGACAUCCGACACCCUUAAUCGCAAGUUUACUUUGAGAUGGUUUGAGGAUGUUUCUCCCACGACUAAACUUCCAGGAUUUUCUGACUGGUCUUUGCUAUAUACAUCCCAUUUCUACUCAAAAGGUAUUUUGGUCUUUUUGAAGAUUUUUUUCGUCAACUUAGCUCUGAUACCAAUUGUUGGGUUUUUCUCGUGUCCAUGUCUAACUCUUUAUUGUCUGACUAGUACGACACUCGCUACUUUGGAUCUAAGAGAUAAGCUUGUAUGGAUUUACUUUUGGGAUCCUUUCAGAGUUAGAUUUUUUUAUUAUAUAUUAAGCAUUAUUUGGUUAAAAUUUUAGUGUGGAACUUGAAUAGCCAUCUCUCGGCUUGUUUAUUUGAAAUGAUAUAUUAUUUCUUUUCUCCAAUGCAAAUUGUUAAACCUUUCUUCCGAUUACACAUAAUUUAUUCCUGACCAAUCCUUGUUGUUUGAAUUUUCUUCUAUGAGAAUAUAAGCAUCCACGUGGAGAAUUUUACUGGGACAUGACUAAUAUAUAAUAGAUGCGAGACAAUCUAUUUACCUCCAAAAAAAUUUAGUUGGAAGCCAUAAAAUUUAACAUGGAUCAAAACCCGAAUACACGAUGCCCACAUGCACCUAAAUCGAUCAUGCACAAAAUGAGGCCAAAUAAAUCUUGAACCGGCCUGACAUAAAUUUGUUGGGCCGGUCUGACCUGAACCGAAUCCCAUAUUGGGAUAUUGUCGAGAUUAAUUGUCAAAAAAAUCAUCUCGAGGGACGUGUGAGAAUAUAAUUUUCCACAUCAAAAUUUUCACUCAUACAUAACUAAUAUAUAAGAGACUAGGGAAAUCCACUUAGUACCAACUAAUUUAAAAUUAGAAGUUCAGAAAACAUAAUUGACUGAUUUUGAACGGGCAUGGCCCAAACUGGUCCAACUAGUCUGGCCCAAACCGGAUUCUAUAUUGGAAAAUUGUCAAUUUUAAUGGUCAAAGAACCAUCAUCAAGGGGGAAUGUGAAAAUCUAAUAUUUUUAGAAACUGAAAUCAAUCCACUUACCUUCAAUUGAUUUUAAGUUGCAAGCUCAAUAAACUUAAUACAUUUUUCCACUAUCAAUGAUUAGAUAUUUUCAUAUAUAUUUGGAGAUCAAUAUUAUAUAAUCAAUAGUUGAAUAAUUUUGAAUUCGUCUCUCAUUGUAAUAAUAUAUUAGGAGUUUUCUUACACCAUGCCCAAAAAUAAUAUUUUUAAAUAUAAUAUUAUUUUAUUUAUAAAAUAAAAUAAAGCUUAAAUAAUAAUUUUAAAUAUAAUAUUAUUUUAUUUUAAAUGAUUUAUUAUACAUUUGAAUUAUUAUUUUCAUAUUUGAACUUCAUCGGUUUGGAAAAAUAAAACCAUCGAUGUGAUUUUAUUUAAAUUUUUAUAGAAUUAAAAUUACAUUUUAAAUUUAUUUAUAUUUAAUGGUUAUUUAUUCUAAAUAUUUCUCUGAUCAAAUAGUUUUAAUAUGUCUAUAUAUAAAUAUAUAAAUUUUACUAAAUUUUUGAACUUUUUUUAUUUUAUUUAAAAUAUCUUAAACUGGUAAAAAUUAAUUUGUUAAUUAACCUAAUGAACUGAUACUUUAAACAAUUUUUCAAUCAUUUAACCAUCAAUAUUAUUUUUAUUUGAUUAGUAUCGCUUUAUUUUUUAUUUGUUAAGUCACACUUACGAUUAAUUUUGAUAAUAUAUGUAUAUAAUUUAUAAAAAAAUAUGAUAUAUAAUUUUAAUUUUGAUAUAUGAGUUAUUAUUACCAUAUUUCAAAAAUCUUCCUAAAAAUAUUUAUUUACACAAAAUUAUAUUUUAAGUGAGAUAUAGGAGUUAUUUUAGUCGUUAUCGUAAAUCUUGCCAAAAAGAUGACGUGAUUACAUAAAACACAGUUACCAAAAAUUGAAGUCUAUUGAAUUUAUUUUACAUCACAUUUGUAUACAUAAUUUUUCAAUGACAUUAAAAUUGAAAUUAAAUUGAGUUUAAACAGAUUUACUUAUAAUUGGGUGGGCUUGGGCUGUCCAGCUGGGUGAUGGGUGAAGUUGGGUUUGAAUGUUAUUGGGUGUGGGUUAAAUAUGGGUGUGAGUGUUUUGGGUCCAGAAAAAUAUAUACCCAACUAGACACACCUAUUUGGGUGUUGGACCGCCCAGUUGACAGCCCUGCUGAGUGCUAGAGACGUUGAUGACGCCAUUUGUGUAAAAGAUCAAAGAGAGAGAGAGAGAGCCACGAAACUCGAUCAUAUAUUUUCUUUUGUGCGAAGAGAAAAGCUGUCGAAGAGAGGAUUAAUAUAGAUAGCAAGGAGAAGAAGCUACCGGAGAUGAUGGUUGUUAACAAGUGCUUAAGAGCACCAUUAACCAUGGGUGCUUAAGGGGUAUUUAGUAUUUUUUUAAUUAAAAAAAAAAGAGAAGAAUAAUAAGAAGGAGUGCUUAAUUAGACAUCACAUUUUAAAUUUAUUUAAAUUUAAAUUUUACUAAAUUUUUGAACUUUUUUUAUUUUAUUUAAAAUAUGUUAAACUGGUAAAAAUUAAUUUGUUAAUUAACCUAAUGAACUGAUACUUUAAACAAUUUUUCAAUCAUUUAACUAUCAACAAUAUUUUUAUUUGAUUAGUAUUGCUUUAUUUUUUAUUUGUUAAGUCACACUUACGAUUAAUUUUGAUAAUAUAUGUAUAUAAUUUACAAAAAAAUAUGAUAUAUAAUUUUAAUUUUGAUAUAUGAGUUAUUAUUACCAUAUUUCAAAAAUCUUCCUAAAAAUAUUUAUUUACACAAAAUUAUAUUUUAAGUGAGAUAUAGGAGUUAUUUUAGUCGUUAUCGUAUUUAAAUAUCUUGCCAAAAUUUUAAUUUUUUAUAAAGUAAAUUGUAUGUUAUUGGGUGUGGGCUAAAUAUCUCCAUCUUUUUGGCAAGAUAUUUAUAAAGUAAAUUGUAUAAUUACGUAUACUACAUUUUUCAAAAAUCAUUUCAUCUUUUUUAAGAAUGAAUAUUGUGAAGAAAAAUAAUCAAAUCACUUUGCAAAUAAUGUUUACUUGAUUGUGACUUUUUUUUUUUGAGAAAACGAGGGAUUGUGACUUUCACUUAUUAAAUUACCUUCUGCGACUAAUACAAAAGAAUCUCUUCUGUCGUUCGAGCACUAAGUGUAAUUUUGUAAUACAAGUAAUUUUUUUAAUUAAGAUCUGCAAAUAAAACUUUAAUGAAUGCCAGUUUGCUGAACUGUCUGAUUGUGUUAUGCCCGAUCGAAUCGUUGCCUACGGUUGCGUUUUGGGUUUUAUUCCCGCGCAUAAAGUUUUGGAUGUUUAUGUCCUUUCUUUUGUAUAUAGUUGUUUCAUUUGCGGAUUGAAGGUUGUUUGGUGUGGUAUCCUCGCAUUCAGCAUGAUCUAUUUGAUUUUGGACUGAAUGCGUAGAAUUGAGCUAUGAUGUAACCUUAGUAUUCUUCUUUCGGGUAGUUGGAGGAGCAUGUACUAGUUAUGCUUCCUUCGGAGGUUCUCAUAAGUUGGGCUAAUCGAGCAAUAUGCAAUGGUUUAACGACUAUUAGUCUUUCAUUCUAGCUAUUUUGGUUCUAAUUUAGUUCUUUAGCUCGUUGUCUCCGAAGGUGUUUAACUGCUGCUUUGUCUCUCCGUUUGUUGGGCUAUAGUCUCUGGGACCGUAUGUCCGCCGGCUUGUGGCUGAAAUACAUGGUGUGGUCGACUUUUAUGUCGUUUAUGUCGACUUUUUGGCUUCCCCACAAAUAGGAUGAAUAAAAUAACAAAUGUAAAAAAAAAACUGUAAUGAAUGCUUCAAACUAAAUUCUAUGGUUACUUUACUUCUUAUUUGUCACAAUCAUACGUCUCUUUUUUUUAUUGUCGUUGAAACAAAGGCUAUAAACACUAAUAAGUAAGUAUAUCUAGAAUAACCAUUAAUCUUUUUUUUUUUGAGUAAUCACAGGUUGAAUGAGUUUUGCAUAAUCAAGAUAAACGUAAUUAAUGAAUUCAAUGUUUUAGCUCCAUCAGCUAAAUUAUGUUAUCUUUUGGAAUUUAACAAAGUAUCUAGUGGUAUGUUUAGAACUAGAAUGUGUUCAUAAACUACCAUGACAUAUAGCCUAAUGGUUCAUUGUAAUGUUGUUGUGUCACCAUAUAUUAAAUGUUGGUGAAAAAAUAUUUAUCGAUUGAAAUAAAUUUUGUGAUGUUUUUGAAAUCUUUUCCAAGUAGUAAUAGUUUGGAACUACCUUUAGUUUGGUGGUAUUAUACAAUCAUUUUCUUGUAGCAAUCAUAUUCACAAAGCAUAAAAAAUAAUCAAACAAUUAUGCCCAAAAAACUAUGCAAACCAUAAAAAACAAAAAUGGAAACGACUAAGUUUGAAUAUCUUCAUAUAAAAUUAAACAUAUUAUUUUUUUAAAGUAAAGUGUAUACUUUGGACAAACUUUUAAUUUAAAACUUAACUACUUUUCUUGCUUACCAAUUCAAAAAUACUCCUAGUAAUUAUCUUUGUGAAACAUAGUGGAGAGUGAAUCUUCAACAAAGCAUCAAAAAUAACCAAACAAUUAUGCCCAAAAAACUAUGCAAACCAUAAAAAACUAAAAUGGAAACGACUAAGUUUGAAUAUCUUCAUAUAAAAUUAAACAUAUUAUUUUUUUAAAGUAAAGUGUAUACUUUGGACAAACUUUUAAUUUAAAACUUAACUACUUUUCUUGCUUACCAAUUCAAAAAUACUCCUAGUAAUUAUCUUUGUGAAAUAUAGUGGAGAGUGAAUCUUCAAUUUUAAUUGUUAAGAUUAAAUCAUUGGCUUUUCAACUUCUACAUAAAGGAGUUUAAGGUGAGAAAAAAUUGGGAAGAAACUUCUGAACAUGUUGCUAUAUGAUAUGGAGAAAUAGUUGUUUAAGCUGUAAGGCUGAAUGCAACAAGAAUUUCAUGAAAUAUGGGUGAGGUGUAAUGGAACCGGCAAAUGUCAUUGUCGAUUACAUUGAAGUCAAAGUUGAAAACUGGAUAAUGUGUUACUUGACUAUGGAGUAGCUCUAGGAGCUCUAGCAGCUGCUCAAGCAGUUCAACCUCCUUCUCGCCAAUUAAUACAUCUACCUCCUCGGCCACAAUGGUUUUACCGUGAACCAAGACAUAGACCUUGGUUCCAUAGAAGGUAUGCUGCAACAGCUCUUCUUUGUUGAACUGAAGAGAAGAUGGAGCUUGUUUAUAAAUAGGGCAAGCUCCAGAAGAUCUCCAGAAGAAUUCUAUUAAGCUUCGGAAGUGUUUAGAAUCUGAUGCAAAGAAGAGACAAGAUCUAAGAAGUGUCUUGAAGGUGUUUACAAGACAUUGGAAGAGUUUGGAAGAUUAUGGUUGAUGGUGCAAAGUUAGGGAUCGACCUGUACGGGCGGACGUACGAACUGUACGGACCGUACGGACGUGAUCGACCCGAAACUUAUCAUUUCGGCCAUUUGAGCACAUUUGAGGAAUGUGCAAUCUUAGGGCACAAGGUGUACGGUUGACAUCCGUACAGCCAAGUCUGAUCAUGUUUUGGGAGACAAGGCAAGGAGAAGGGCGUGUGAGACUAUCCAAGGGAGAAAGAUCCAUUUGGCAUAUUCAAAGAUGCCUUAGGAAGCAACCAGGAAGGUGCCUUUCUCUCCAGCUCACACAGACCAAUCACAGCCAAGUAUUCAGUCUACAAGGCAGCUCAUGACAGCCUGUAAAGGCCAGACACGCCAAAGACUCCCAUUGGCCAAGCAUGUGAUGAUUCUGGUCCAUAGAAUUCAAAAUGGACGCUCCCCUUUAUGUUGACUUCACAUGCUUAGGUUAUCUGAUGUAUCCAGCCUCCAUUUAUGUAUUUAAGCCUGAAUCUAAAACCCUAAUCUCUAAUCUCUUAUUCUCCUAAUCUCUCAGUCUCUUAAUCUUUGUUCCUAAGUCUCUUAUUCUCUCAUAAACACUCUCAUCAAUCUCUCUUUCUAAAUCAUCUAGAGCAAGCUCUCAUCUUUCUCCAUUGGAGUUUAUACACACACACAUACAACCAGAGAAGAGAACUCUACAAAACUCAUAUGGUAUCAGAACCAGGUUCAUCAGAACCUGAGCUGAAGCUUCCGCAAGUCCACAGCUCACGCUUCUCCUCAAAACCAAACCAUUGAGGCUUUCCAAUCCGGUUCAGUCCCUUGUGAAAAAGAAGGCUGAAGCUUGGCGAUUUCCCUUGGUUCCUCAUCCUGUUCUCUAACUGCUCAGAUGGAGAUUAUCCUUGGAGGCAAAGGUGUAUGGAGAGGCCUAACUAACCUGACUCCAAAGCUCCUUGUCCAAGAGAAGUUUCACAUCCGGCUACAAGAGUAUGGUGUCAAGAGUUUGGCGCCUAGAUGUUCUGAAGAAAGGAGGGGUAUUUUGAGUUGAUGGUACAAGAUGGUGGCCAUGAACGGAAGGAGAAAGAGGUGGGUGAUGAUCCAGACUCUCAGAUCCAACAAAAGUCAUGGCCGGUUUCACAAAAUGCAAAAGGAAUCAAUCUGGUUCCUUGUUUUUGAGUGGUGUUUCAGGUUCACAAGAAGUGUUCUUGGCUCACCACCUAUCCAAGACAAGAGGAAGACUUGAUCCAUUGUGUGGAGCAAUGGGAAGAUACUUCUGUGUAGAAGCCGGUUUAAGAAGCGCAGGCCACGAGGUUGUUGAGCUCCUGGUUCAAGACAUACAAGCGGAAGACUUGACCAUUGUGUGGAGCAAUGGGAAGGUUCUUGUGUGUAGAAGCCAGUUUAAGAAGCGCAUGCCACGAGGUUGUUGAGCUCCUGGUUCAAGACACACAAGAAGAAGAACAGAUACCUUCAGUUGGGAAGCUUUGGAUCAGCUACUAUAUGGAGUUAGAACAGAUACCUUCAGUUGGGAAGCUUUGAAUCAGCCCAUAGCUACUCAAGACCAUUGCAAGCUGAUCAUGGAGUGAUCCAGCCGAAGUAGAGGGAAGAAGAAAGCUACUCAAUAAGCUUCUGGUGUGAGAUGCUUGGAGAGUGAGCUGAGGUAUCUCCUCAGUGCAAUGCGUGGAGAGUGAGCUGAGGUAUCUCCUCAGUGCAAUGGUGGUUAAGUGGGGCUGUAAGCAUCAAGUCUGAAGAAGAUGGAGGUGUUUCCACAAGAGUGAUCAUGGAGCUUAGUAUGCGCUCACCUUCAAGCUUAGAUCUUCCCUAUACUCGGUCUCAAGCUUGAGGGGGAGUGUUGGUGAGCUUGCAUGAUAAGAGAAGGAGCUGAUAAGCUCAGCAAGUGAGGGGUUCAAGUGGUGUGUGAAGAGCAGCCACUCCUCAACAAAGCAAAAGGAGCUAGGCAUGUCUUACCUGAUGGAGAUGGCAAGAAGCCACGAGAAAAGGGAAGACUCAGGCCGGUCCAGUCACUCCUCACCAGAGAAAAAGGGAAGUUUCCCUUUACUCAAUUCAAUUCAUCAUUGACAACAUAUCUAGUAAUCUAUCAGGAAUACUAGUUUUACUAAAGAAGAGUUGUUAAGCAUCAUUUGAAUCCGUUAGGAAUACUAGUUUUACUAGACGGCAACAUAUCUAGUAAUAUAUAAGGAAUACUAGUCUUACUAAGACGGUCAAUAAGCAUGAAUUGAUUGAGUUAUGUUCUUUGAUAAGUACUGAUACACUUGUGGAAUAAUGUAUCAGGUACCUUACUUGGAGACUCAACAGAGAGGAUCAGGUCGCUCCUAGCCUUUCAAGAUGACAUGAAGUCCGGUGAAAGGGGGAGACACUAAGCCGGUUCUAUAAAAGAGUCCAAGAAGGUGUGGUGAAGUGUGCGCAAGCCUUGAAGUGUUGCUGAACCUGUUUAGGCCGUGCUCCAGAGCUUCUUGUGUCCAACCACACUGGUUCUAAGGCACAAGAGUUCACUGGCCAAUCCCUAGGCCUUGGAGAUCUCUACUCUUUUUCCCUUGCAAGGUUUUGUCCCAAUGGGUUUUCCUUGUAAGGUUUUUAAUGAGGGAGACUCUUCAGGGUUUCAAGCUUGACUUAGGAUCUCCUAGAGUCAAGCUUGAGGGCGAGUGUUGAACUGAAGAGAAGAUGGAACUUGUUUAUAAAUAGGGCAAGCUCCAGAAGAUCUCCAGAAGAGUUCUAUUAAGCUUCGGAAGUGUUUAGAAUCUGAUGCAAAGAAGAGACAAGAUCUAAGAAGUGUCUUGAAGGUGUUUACAAGACAUUGGAAGAGUUUGGAAGAUUAUGGUUGAUGGUGCAAAGUUAGGGAUCGACAUGUACGGGCGGACGUACGAACUGUACGGACCGUACGGACAUGAUCGACCCGAAACUUAUCAUUUCGGCCAUUUGAGCACAUUUGAGGAAUGUGCAAUCUUAGGGCACAAGGUGUACGGUCCUGACAUCCGUACAGCCAAGUCUGAUCAUGUCUUGGGAGACAAGGCAAGGAGAAGGGCGUGUGAGACUAUCCAAGGGACAAAGAUCCAUUUGGCAUAUUCAAAGAUGCCUUAGGACGCAACCAGGAAGGUGCCUUUCUCUCCAGCUCACACAGACCAAUCACAGCCAAGUAUUCAGUCCACAAGACAGCUCAUGACAGCCUGUAAAGGUCAGACACGCCAAAGACUCCCAUUGGCCAAGCAUGUGAUGAUUCUGGUCCAUAGAAUUCAAAAUGGGCGCUCCCCUUUAUGUUGACUUCACAUGCUUAGGUUAUCUGAUGUAUCCAACCUCCAAUUAUGUAUUUAAGCCUCUUGUAAACAAUUGUAAACUUAAGGGAGUAAGGGGGAUUUCCCCUCUCCACUUCAUGAAUGAUAAACUUGUUCUUGAAUCUAAAACUCUAAUCUCUAAUCUCUUAUUCUCCUAAUCUCUCAGUCUCUUAAUCUUUGUUCCUAAGUCUCUUAUUCUCUCAUAAACACUCUCAUCAAUCUCUCUUUCUAAAUCAUCUAGAGCAAGCUCUCAUCUUUCUCCAUUGGAGUUUAUACACACACAUACAACCAGAGAAGAGAACUCUACAAAACUCAUACUCUUGAACCAGUUCCCCUUGCACAACCUCCUCCUCCACCAUCUCCUAGGUAGCGGUUGGGUUAAUAAAUAAAUAAAAGUUUAUGGGUUUUGAGGAAUUUUUGUGUAUUUUUCUAUUUAAAAUUAAUUCAAAAUAAAAACAUUAAUGAUUAGCUAUAGUUAGAAUCCGUCGAUAUUCAUUAUUUUAUGUUGAAAAAGAAUCUAUUGUAAUAAGUUUUACAUAAUCAGAAAUAAAUAGAAUUAAUGAAGUUAACAUGUUUGUAACUCCAUGAACUAAAAUAUGUUAUCGUUUUGCAAUUAACAAAGUAGCUACUGGUAUGUUUGGAACAAGAACUAGUUCAUAAAAUAUCAUAACAUGUAGUCUAAUGGCCAGUGAUAAUGUUAUUUUGUCAACAUAUAUUAAAUGUUUCUGUAGAAAAAAUAUUUAUUAAUAGAGCUAGAUCAAUUAUGUGAUAAUUUUCAAAUUUUAUGAAGUGGUACUAGUUUUGAAACUAAUUUUGUAUUAUCAAAUCGUUUUUUGUAGCAUCAAUAUUCAGAAAGCAUCAAAAUCUAAAAAAAUAUGUCAUAAAAUUAUGUAAACAGUGAGAAUUAAAAUGGAAUUGAAUAAUUUUGAGUAUCUCUAAAUAAAAUUAAAACAUAUAUUAAAUAAAACAGAGUAUAUUUUAGACACUUUUAAUUUAAAACUUAAACUUUUUUCUUCCUUACAAAGUCAAAAAUGCUCUCAGUAAUUAUCUUACAAUGAAUCAUAAACUCUAAAUUUGAGGUUUUAUCUUUUUGACAUUCAUUCUCUUCAAAUACUAAACAUACAUAUUCGUUUUUACCAAAAAAAUAAACAUACAUAUUCAUUUUUACCAAAAAAAAAACAUACAUAUUCAUUUCAA